GCUGGGCGUGGUGGUGGGCGCCUGUAAUCCCAGCUACUUGGGAGGCUGAGACAGGAGAAUUGCUUGAACCCGGGAGGUGGAGGUUGCAGUGAGCUGAGAUUGUGCCACUGCACUCCAGCCUGGGCAACAAAGUGAGACUCUGUCUCAA
rnacentral:SRP_RNA from 1 species